rnacentral:rRNA from 1 species
AUUGAACGCUGGCGGCAGGCCUAACACAUGCAAGUCGAGCGGACGAGGGGUGCUUGCACCCUGAUUCAGCGGCGGACGGGUGAGUAAUGCCCAGGAAUCUGCCCGAUAGUGGGGGACAACGUUGCGAAAGGAACGCUAAUACCGCAUACGUCCUACGGGAGAAAGUGGGGGCUCUUCGGACCUCACGCCAUCGGAUGAGCCUAGGUCGGAUUAGCUAGUUGGUGGGGUAAAGGCUCACCAAGGUGACGAACCGUAACUGGGCUGAGAGGGUGAUCAGUCACACUGAAACUGAGACACGGUCCAGACUCCUACGGGAAGAAGCAGUGGGGAAUAUUGGACAAUGGGCGAAAGCCUGAUCCAGCCAUGCCGCGUGUGUGAAGAAGGUCUUCGGAUUGUAAAGCACUUUAAGUCGGGAGGAAGGGCUGUAGGUUAAUACCUUGCAGCCUUGACGUUACCGACAGAAUAAGCACCGGCUAACUUCGUGCCAGCCGCCGCAGUAACAC